GUACAAUGAUGGCAAUUUUUUUUCAUCAAUAGUGUGUCACUUCCUGAGUGUUGAUACUUUAGGUCUAAGAAA
ensembl:snoRNA